GUCCGUCCGUCCGUCCGUCCGUCCGUCUGUUCGUUCGUUCGUCCGUUCGUCCGUCUGUCCCAUGUCAGGUUAAAGUUUUUGGUCGAGGUAGUUUUUGAUGAAGUUGAAGUCCAAUCAACUUGAAACUUAGUAUAUAUGUUCUGUAUGAUAUGAUCUUUCUAAUUUUAAUUCCAAAUUAGAGAUUAAACCCCAUUUUCACGGUCCACUGAACAUAGAAAAUGAUAGUGCGGAUGGGGCAUCCGUGUACUGGGGACACAUUCUUGUUU
rnacentral:lncRNA from 1 species